AAAUUGAAGAGUUUGAUCAUGGCUCAGAUUGAACGCUGGCGGCAGGCCUAACACAUGCAAGUCGAACGGUAACAGGAAGAAGCUUGCUUCUUUGCUGACGAGUGGCGGACGGGUGAGUAAUGUCUGGGAAACUGCCUGAUGGAGGGGGAUAACUACUGGAAACGGUAGCUAAUACCGCAUAACGUCGCAAGACCAAAGAGGGGGACCUUCGGGCCUCUUGCCAUCGGAUGUGCCCAGAUGGGAUUAGCUAGUAGGUGGGGUAACGGCUCACCUAGGCGACGAUCCCUAGCUGGUCUGAGAGGAUGACCAGCCACACUGGAACUGAGACACGGUCCAGACUCCUA
rnacentral:rRNA from 1 species